rnacentral:tRNA from 1 species
UGGCCCAUGCAGGUCUCGAACCUGCGACCUUGGCGUUAUUAGCACCACGCUCUAACCAACUGAGCUAAUAGGCC